AGAGUUUGAUCCUGGCUCAGGAUGAACGCUAGCGACAGGCCUAACACAUGCAAGUCGAACGGUAACAUAGAUUGCUUGCAAUUUGCUGACGACCGGCGAACGGGUGCGUAACACGUAUGCAACUUACCUUUAACUGGAAGAUAGCCCCGAGAAAUCGGGAUUAAUACUCCAUAACAUUUCAUUUUGGCAUCACUAUGAAAUUAAAGCUCCGGCGGUUAAAGAUAGGCAUGCUUCUGAUUAGUUUGUUGGUGAGGUAACGGCUCACCAAGACUACGAUGUCUAGGGGGCCUGAGAGGGCUAUCCCCCACACUGGUACUGAGACACGGACCAGACUCCUACGGGAGGCAGCAGUGAGGAAUAUUGGUCAAUGGACGAAAGUCUGAACCAGCCAUGCCGCGUGCAGGAAGAAAGCCCUACGGGUUGUAAACUGCUUUUAUUUGGGAAGAAACCCCCUUACGUGUAAGGGGCUGACGGUACCAUUUGAAUAAGGACCGGCUAACUCCGUGCCAGCAGCCGCGGUAAUACGGAGGGUGCAAGCGUUAUCCGGAUUUAUUGGGUUUAAAGGGUGCGUAGGCGGGAUAUUAAGUCAGUGGUGAAAUCCUACAGCUUAACUGUAGAAUUGCCAUUGAUACUGUAGUCCUUGAGUAUGGAUGAAGUGGGCGGAAUGUGGCAUGUAGCGGUGAAAUGCAUAGAUAUGCCACAGAACACCGAUUGCGAAGGCAGCUCACUAAACCAUUACUGACGCUGAGGCACGAAAGCGUGGGGAGCGAACAGGAUUAGAUACCCUGGUAGUCCACGCUGUAAACGAUGAUCACUCGAUGCUGGCGAUACACUGUCAGUGUCCAAGCGAAAGCGUUAAGUGAUCCACCUGGGGAGUACGUUCGCAAGAAUGAAACUCAAAGGAAUUGACGGGGGCCCGCACAAGCGGUGGAGCAUGUGGUUUAAUUCGAUGAUACGCGAGGAACCUUACCAGGGCUUAAAUGUAGAAUGACCGUCGUGGAAACAUCCUUUUUCUUCGGACAAUCUACAAGGUGCUGCAUGGUUGUCGUCAGCUCGUGCUGUGAAGUGUCGGGUUAAGUCCAAUAACGAGCGCAACCCCUAUCUUCAGUUGCCAGCGGGUAAUGCCGGGGACUCUGGAGAAACUGCCAGCGUAAGCUGCGAGGAAGGUGGGGAUGACGUCAAAUCAUCACGGCCCUUACGUCCUGGGCCACACACGUGCUACAAUGGUCGGUACAGAGGGCAGCUACCCCGCGAGGGGAUGCGAAUCUCGAAAGCCGGUCUCAGUUCGGAUCGAAGUCUGCAACUCGACUUCGUGAAGCUGGAAUCGCUAGUAAUCGCGCAUCAGCCAUGGCGCGGUGAAUACGUUCCCGGGCCUUGUACACACCGCCCGU
rnacentral:rRNA from 1 species